rnacentral:rRNA from 1 species
UUGGUCAUGCUAGAAAGAGCGUAUGGUGGAUGCCUUGGCACUAAGAGCCGAUGAAAGACGUGAUAAGCUGCGAAAAGCUUCGGGGAGGAGCAAAUAUCCUUUGAUCCGGAGAUCUCUGAAUGGGGAAACCCACUUGAGCAAACCUCAAGUAUCCUAACGCCAAUACAUAACGUUAGGAGGGGAACCCGGUGAACUGAAACAUCUAAGUAGCCGGAGGAAGAGAAAACAACAUGUGAUUCUGUGAGUAGCGGCGAGCGAAAACGGAAGAGCCCAAACCGGGAUGCGUGCAUCCCGGGGUUCGGACCGCAUAAUUGAUUCAACAAAUUUAGCAGAACGGUUUUGGGAAAGCCGGCCAGAGAGGGUGAAAGCCCCGUAAGCGAAAGAUGAGUUGACAUGGCGGUAUCCAGAGUAGGUCGAGACACGUGGAACCUUGACUGAACAUGCGGGGACCACCCCGUAAGGCUAAAUACUCCUUAGUGACCGAUAGCGCAUAGUACUGUGAAGGAACGGUGAAAAGGACCCCGGGAGGGGAGUGAAACAGAACCUGAAACCAUAUGUUUACAAGCUGUGGAACCAUGUUUUAUGUGGAACCGCGUACUUUUUGUAGAACGGUCCGGCGAGUUGCGCUGGCUGGCGAGGUUAAGCACCAAAGGUGUGGAGCCGAAGGGAAACCAAGUCUUAAUAGGGCGAAUGAGUCAGUCGGAGCAGACCCGAAACCGGGUGAUCUAUCCAUGUCCAGGUUGAAGUUGCCGUAAAAGGCAAUGGAGGACCGAACCCACAUCCGUUGAAAAGGGUGGGGAUGAGGUGUGGAUAGGGGAGAAAUUCCAAUCGAACCCGGAGAUAGCUGGUUCUCCUCGAAAUAGCUUUAGGGCUAGCCUCAUAUAAGUCUUGCGGAGGUAGAGCACUGAAUUUCCUAGGGGGCGUCAAAGCUUACCAAAGAAUAUCAAACUCCGAAUGCCGUGUAGAUGUUGUAUGGGAGUCAGACUGUACGAGAUAAGUUGGACAGUCAAAAGGGAAAGAGCCCAGACCUGCAGCUAAGGCCCCAAAAUGUGUGUUAAGUGGAAAAGGAUGUGGGAUUUCAAAGACAACUAGGAUGUUGGCUUAGAAGCAGCCAUACAUUCAAAGAGUGCGUAAUAGCUCACUAGUCGAGAGGUCCUGCGCCGAAAAUGUCCGGGGCUGAAACACACUGCCGAAGCUCAGGAAU